rnacentral:rRNA from 1 species
CACGUAGGCACCAAGCGUUGUCCGGAUUUAUUGGGCGUAAAGAGCUCGUAGGCGGCUUAGUAAGUCGGGCGUGAAAACCCCAGGCUCAACCUGGGGACGCCACCCGAUACUGCUAUAGCUAGAGUCCAGUAGGGGAGUGUGGAAUUCCCAGUGUAGCGGUGAAAUGCGCAGAUAUUGGGAGGAACACCAGCGGCGAAGGCGGCACUCUGGGCUGGUACUGACGCUGAGGAGCGAAAGCGUGGGGAGCAAACAGG